UGCACUCAAGCCUGAGCAACAGAGAGAGACUCCAUCUUAAAAAAAAAAAAAAAAAAAAAAAUAUCGAUCUGUCAGGGACUGCACCCUAAUCUCUUAAUAUGUCGCAAUGCAGUUCUCUUAGUUUUUCUCCGUCUUUUCCCAUCACAUUCUGCUUUUCUCAACCUCUACCCACACCCAGAGCCUGCUUCUUCUGCUUUUUUCUUUUAUUCUCAUGAUAUUUUUCUUCACUCUCUGCACCCUCCCCCACCCCAGCAUGGUUCUAUUUUUAGAAUGUUCAUACAUAAAAUCAGAGGAUUAGAAAAGGGUUUUAAGGGGCCAUCUGCCCACUUUGUUACCUCCAGGCAAACCUGUGCUUAAAAGGCCCAGGAAAGAUCAGAGGGCAUAUCCAAGCCCAAUGUCAGGAUGUACUCCAGCGUCUCACAACUUCUCCCAUAAAAAAAAAUGGCCUCAAUGUCUAACUUAAACCUCUCCGUUCAAUACUACUCUCCUUUUUCUCCUCACCUCUUGAGUCUCAUCACAGACAUAAAGCACCUUUGUGAGACAGAACUGUUGGGAAGUUUAACCCACAAUGACAUAGUGGAACAUCCCAGGCCAUAACGAUCAUAGUUUCAAUGUAAAAACAGAUUCAGGAACACAGAAUGGGCUAGAGGCUAUGGCAGUUAGGUGGAUUGGGCUUCUGUAAAAUCAACAAAGACAGAACAAAUAAGCAAAAACCAACAAGCACAACCCUACUGGACUCACAGUUUCUAGCAAACUAUCUCAAUUAACAUGAAAAGUCCACGAAGCAAGGAAUUCUAAAAUCAUAGCCCCCUUAGGUUGGAAAGGCCCUUCAUUAGAUGUUAUCAAGUCCAACUUUUUAUGCAGAGUUGGCAGCCUGCAUAGCACAAAGUCUAUCUCUGUUGAUUAUAGUUGAAUAACGAAUGGCGGUCAUUUGGUACUGGUUCUUCCAUCAGCAUAUAAAAAAUUUCUUCAAAGCAACUCUCCCAGGACCCUGGAUAGGAGGCAAGGCAGGUGUUCACCUGGACAGGGCCUGCUGCUCCAGAUGUUACCCUUUUUGGUCUGUGCUAACCUGCCGAGGUAGUCUACAGUCUUAAUAGAGACAGUGUGGUCUAGUGUGUAGGUCACUCAACAAGAAGGCAGAUUUCAAAACCUGCCGCAUUUUCUUGCUUCCUCCUUCAGAUGGCAAGAGGCAGACAACUCAACUAAAGAGAAGAGGAUUCACAGCAAGUUGCUGACCCAGUUUACAGCACAGCUGUCCUCUUCCAUAGAAUGGGAAGAAGUUUUAUGCUUUUAUGCUUCUCUGUACCGUCGACCUCAAAGUUCGAAAACAAGUAAGAACCUUCUAUCUUGGGGAAGUCUGGCAAAUGCUCCAUAGAGGCUGCUGUGGAAGGGAAUCAUUUCACAUCCCAUGUUAGGAUAAGGCCUGAAACCCUGCCUGGGUAAAUAAGAGCGGCACAGGGAGUGGGCUUCAGUCCUGUCUCAUUUACAUGGUCUUGGACACACAUCCUAUCGGUUUCUGGGACCUGUUUUUCUCCAUCUGUCAAACAAGGUGGUGCUCUAAAGACCUUCCUGCUGUAGCGAUCUUGCUUCACCUUGGGUAAAUGCUGCAGCCAUAAGAGAGGAGGUAGGGUCUUUGUCCUCAUGGGUCUCCCACCAGGCCCAAGGCUUCUCCAAGCCUUGCUGAGCCAGGAGGGCAACUCCUAGCCCCUCUGCCAAGAAUCUACUUUCCUUCCCUCAAUGAUUGAUCCUGCUCAGAAAUCAGCCAAUUUUGGGGGUAGGAGGCGUCCAACAUGAAAGAAACACUACAAAGAAACGCUUAGGUAAACUCUCCACCUCUACACACACCCAUACACAUACACUGACACAGAUACAUACAUGAACCCUGAAAUGUAAGUAUUUUCCCUUCCAUGUAUCAAACCUCUUUUGCCCUCUUGAAUUGCCAGUGUGCUGGGAGAGAAUUCAGUCCCACCGUGGAAAAGCACUGCUUCCACUUACGGAACUCAGCUAAACUUCAGUGUUUAGGGAUGACCCUGGGCACAGGUUGAAGCUAAAGGUCCUAACACACCUCAACUGCAGUGCAGAAAUGCAGAGUUUACCAGCCAUGACUGGGGCAGUAGCUAACUAGAAGCACAGGACCAGGAUCCAGAUCCUUUCUUCCUUGCUCUUCCACUUCCACUGCCUCCCCGACCCUAGAUGUGUUAUUCUGUAACACUGGUCGCCUGCUCGAGCCUGCUCAUCUGCCUGCAUAGAGUGCCGUGGACUUGCUCUGCAAUGCACUGUAUAUUGUGUAUGUUCUGACUCUGUGGUUUACUGCAAAUAAAAAUGACAGCAGGUGGCUGA